UCUGAUUUUAUUCUUAAUAAGAACGAAUUCUCCCACCGCCGUCGACGCCAAAUUGAUAGUCUUAUACAAAAGCAUCAGUUGAUAAAGGAAAAUAUUACAUUGUCGAGAUACAAGAUGAAGGUGUUAUUAGUUACCAUCGUACUUUGUCUGGUCGUAUCAACAUUAGCCUAUCCAAACAGGGUGGCAAGAACAAGUGGAAAUGAGCUAUCAAAAGACAACAUGAACUUGAUAGCUGAUGCCAACAACAAACAAAGUAGCAACAACAUUAACCCAGGCUUGAUAGGACGUGUUAAACGCAGAGGAUUUAUAUAUGGUAAUGUUUAAAUGAAAACCGAGACCUUCGUACGAGACAAUGAAAAUCGUGACCAAUGUGCUUGAAGAUCAAGGUUCGUGAUAUUGCUGAAGAUCUUAUAAUAAACUCUGCAAAUGAUGUCACUUUUAUCAUUAUUUAACAAA